rnacentral:snRNA from 1 species
AGCUUUGCCCAGUGGUAAUAUCAUAACCAGUGAGAUUUUUGUGCGAUUAUUGCUAACUGAAAACUUUUCCUAAUAUCCGCUGUGACGACUUGAAAUACAGCCAGCAUUGGCAAUUUUGGAGAGUCUCUAUGGAGA